rnacentral:lncRNA from 1 species
GCUUACUGGGUCCUGAAUCGGCUGCGUGCUGUUCUAGGCAUCUUUCACCCUGAAGUCACGGGAACAACGCUGAGGGGCAGCCAGAGAUUAUGUGGGCUUUUCCAUGGGAAGAACCACUCUACGUUAUCACCUUCUACAUAGUAGCAGUUGAAGCCAAAUGGACAGAAAGCCCGAGACAACAUGAAGUUGUUCUACAAGUUAUUUUGGAGAAAUUGACUUACCAUACCACUCAUCAACCCAUGCAAAAGCCUGUCUAUGUCCAAUCAGCAGAAUGUCUCGGACCACCUAAAAAGUAAAAGAAGGAGACUGAAAUAAUAGCAUCUUUGAUGAAAACUAUCUGGAAGACAAGUUGUUAACAAUUCUGGGGAUCUUGGUGAUUACAGAGUUCUUAAUCCCUCUGUCCAUAGGUGAUGACAAUUACAGGCUGCCUAUAGGUCCUAUAGUGCUCACACACCUCCAGCCCUUCCCCAUGGUGUACACACACUUGCAGUAUAUUCAUCUCUUUGUCUUAUUUGAGAGUAGGGCUGGGUGUGUGUACAAACUAAUGACAAAUACUUGACAGUCACACAGCAGUGAUACAAAUAAAUAUCUAGGUUAAUUACCUUGAA